rnacentral:misc_RNA from 1 species
AGCAAGACCAGAAACCACAUCUCUGCAGAAAUAAAAGACACCCAUGCGUUUCAGAGGAGGUUUACUUAAUGGCUUUACGUUACAAAAGAAAAAGCAUCCAAGUGCGGAUCAUGCAUUUUCUUAAUAUGGUAUCUAACCUAAGCUGUUAGCAAAAGUUCUCUGGAAUGACUAAAGCAAUGUAUGCCAGUCUUCCAAUUAGUUUAAAAUCUAAAUAUCUUGAUUAUUGUGAAAGGUCUAGAACUCUAGAUGCAAAUAAGAUAGGAAAAAGUUCAUGAGAAUGCUGUUUAUAACUUUAAAGUCAAUUCAAAGGAUAGUGACUUUUCAGUUUUCACUAACCAAAGGAUAGUGACUUCAACCAAAAGAAAUUCUCAUUUAGUUAGAGGCUCAAUUUGGUUGGAAGCUUUGCCAUGUCUUUGUCAUGUAACAGCAGAAAGAAAUCAGAAAAAAUCUGAACACAGACCAUAAAAUAAAUUUG